GAUGAACGCUGGCGGCGUGCCUAAUACAUGCAAGUCGAGCGAACAGACGAGGAGCUUGCUCCUCUGACGUUAGCGGCGGACGGGUGAGUAACACGUGGAUAACCUACCUAUAAGACUGGGAUAACUUCGGGAAACCGGAGCUAAAACCGGAUAAUAUAUUGAACCGCAUGGUUCAAUAGUGAAAGACGGUUUUGCUGUCACUUAUAGAUGGAUCCGCGCCGCAUUAGCUAGUUGGUAAGGUAACGGCUUACCAAGGCAACGAUGCGUAGCCGACCUGAGAGGGUGAUCGGCCACACUGGAACUGAGACACGGUCCAGACUCCUACGGGAGGCAGCAGUAGGGAAUCUUCCGCAAUGGGCGAAAGCUUGACGGAGCAACGCCGCGUGAGUGAUGAAGGUCUUCGGAUCGUAAAACUCUGUUAUUAGGGAAGAACAAAUGUGUAAGUAACUAUGCACGUCUUGACGGUACCUAAUCAGAAAGCCACGGCUAACUACGUG
rnacentral:rRNA from 1 species